rnacentral:rRNA from 1 species
CCUGGUUGAUCCUGCCAGUAGUCAUAUGCUUGUCUCAAAGAUUAAGCCAUGCAUGUCUAAGUUCAAGCGAAAAUAAAGUGAAACCGCGAAUGGCUCAUUACAUCAGUUAUGGUUCCUUAGAUCACACUUACUACUUGGAUAACUGUGGUAAUUCUAGAGCUAAUACAUGCGCUGGGCCCCAACCCUCGUGGAAGGGGCGCUUUUAUUAGAUCAAAGCCAAUCGGGCCUUCGGGCUCGUUAACUUGGUGACUCUGAAUAACUUUGCUGAUCGCACGGUCUCGCACCGGCGACGUAUCUUUCAAGUGUCUGCCUUAUCAACUGUCGAUGGUAGGUUAUGCGCCUACCAUGGUGGUAACGGGUAACGGGGAAUUAGGGUUCGAUUCCGGAGAGGGAGCCUGAGAAACGGCUACCACAUCCAAGGAAGGCAGCAGGCGCGCAAAUUACCCACUCCCAGCUCGGGGAGGUAGUGACGAAAAAUAACGAUACGGAACUCUUAUGAGGCUCCGUAAUCGGAAUGAGUACACUUUAAAUCCUUUAACGAGGAUCUAUUGGAGGGCAAGUCUGGUGCCAGCAGCCGCGGUAAUUCCAGCUCCAAUAGCGUAUAUUAAUGUUGUUGCGGUUAAAAGCUCGUAGUUGGAUCUCGGUUUCGGGCGAGCGGUGCGCCUUGCGGCGUCUACUGUUUGCCCGGACGAUUUUGCUGGUUCGUUCCUGGUUCUCUUAACCGAGUGCCAGGAGUGGCCAGCACGUUUACUUUGAAAAAAUUGGAGUGCUCAAAGCAGGCGCUACAGCCUGAACAUUAGUGCAUGGAAUAAUGGAAUAGGACCUCGGUUCUAUUUCGUUGGCUUUCGGAGUCGAGGUAAUGAUUAAUAGGGACAGACGGGGGCAUUCGUACUGCGACGUUAGAGGCGAAAUUCUUGGAUCGUCGCAAGACGAACUACUGCGAAAGCAUUUGCCAAGAAUGUUUUCAUUAAUCAAGAACGAAAGUUAGAGGUUCGAAGGCGAUCAGAUACCGCCCUAGUUCUAACCAUAAACGAUGUCGACUGGCGAUCCGCUAUCGUUAACUGAAAGACUUAGCGUCAGCCUCCGGGAAACCAAAGUGUUUGGAUUCUGGGGGGAGUAUGACUGCAAAAUUGAAACUUAAAAGAAUUGACGGAAGGGCACCACCAGGAGUGGAGCCUGCGGCUUAAUUUGACCCAACACGGGAAAUCUCACCAGGCCCGGACACCGGUAGGAUUGACAGAUUGAGAGCUCUUUCUUGAUUCGGUGGGUGGUGGUGCAUGGCCGUUCUUAGUUGGUGGAGCGAUUUGUCUGGUUAAUUCCGAUAACGAACGAGACUCUGGCCUACUAACUAGAC